AACGAACGCUGGCGGCAGGCCUAACACAUGCAAGUCGAGCGAACCCUUCGGGGUUAGCGGCGGACGGGUUAGUAACGCGUGGGAAUAUACCCUUGGGUACGGAAUAGCCUCGGGAAACUGAGAGUAAUACCGUAUGUGCCCUUCGGGGGAAAGAUUUAUCGCCAAAGGAUUAGCCCGCGUUGGAUUAGGUAGUUGGUGGGGUAAUGGCCUACCAAGCCUACGAUCCAUAGCUGGUUUGAGAGGAUGAUCAGCAACACUGGGACUGAGACACGGCCCAGACUCCUACGGGAGGCAGCAGUGGGGAAUCUUAGACAAUGGGCGCAAGCCUGAUCUAGCCAUGCCGCGUGGACGAUGAAGGCCUUAGGGUUGUAAAGUCCUUUCAGAUGGGAAGAUAAUGACGGUACCAUCAGAAGAAGCCCCGGCUAACUCCGUG
rnacentral:rRNA from 1 species